GAAGGUUUUGUGGCCCUUCGGCGUCGUCCUUUCGGGGGAUGGCGUCAAACCACCUCGAGCUGCGUUGGCUGAAGACCGUCGUGGUGAGCGUCGAGGAAAAGGCGGCGUGCGAGUCGUCAGGU
rfam:Mycobacterium kansasii strain 1010001458 NODE_93_length_15547_cov_39.8473_ID_4599, whole genome shotgun sequence.